rnacentral:rRNA from 1 species
CCACGCAACUCCUACGGGAGGCAGCAGUGGGGAAUAUUGCACAAUGGGCGCAAGCCUGAUGCAGCCAUGCCGCGUGUAUGAAGAAGGCCUUCGGGUUGUAAAGUACUUUCAGCAGUGAGGAAGGUGGGUAUGUUAAUAGCAUACUCAUUUGACGUUAGCUGCAGAAGAAGCACCGGCUAACUCCGUGCCAGCAGCCGCGGUAAUACGGAGGGUGCGAGCGUUAAUCGGAAUUACUGGGCGUAAAGCGCAUGCAGGUGGUUUGUUAAGUCAGAUGUGAAAGCCCGGGGCUCAACCUCGGAAUUGCAUUUGAAACUGGCAAACUAGAGUACUGUAGAGGGGGUAGAAUUUCAGGUGUAGCGGUGAAAUGCGUAGAGAUCUGAAGGAAUACCGGUGGCGAAGGCGGCCCCCUGGACAGAUACUGACACUCAGAUGCGAAAGCGUGGGGAGCAAACAGGAUUAGAUACCCUGGUAG